AUCCCGCCUAUAUACCACCGUGCGUCAGCUUACCCUGUGAAGGACUCAUAGUAAGCAAGAUUGGCACAGCCCAAAACGUCAGGUCGAGGUGUAGCGUAUGGAAAGGGAAGAAAUGGGCUACAUUCCCUAAUACAGUGAAAUACGAACGAUACACUGAAAUACGUAUCCGAAGGAGGAUUUAGCAGUAAGCAGAAAAUAGAGCGUUCCGCUGAAACCGGCCCUGAAGCGCGCACACACCGCCCGUCACUCUCCCCGAGCUUACCGACUCUGUAAUACUUAAGACCUCAAAACUGCAAAGGGGAGGCAAGUCGUAACAUGGUAAGUGUACCGGAAGGUGCACUUGGAAAAAU
rnacentral:rRNA from 1 species